rnacentral:rRNA from 1 species
UACAGAGGGUGCAAGCGUUAAUCGGAAUUACUGGGCGUAAAGCGCACGCAGGCGGUUGGUUAAGUCAGAUGUGAAAGCCCCGGGCUCAACCUGGGAAUUGCAUUUGAAACUGGCCAACUAGAGUACGUGAGAGGGGGGUAGAAUUCCAAGUGUAGCGGUGAAAUGCGUAGAGAUUUGGAGGAAUACCAGUGGCGAAGGCGGCCCCCUGGCACGAUACUGACGCUCAGGUGCGAAAGCGUGGGGAGCAAACAGGAUUAGAUACCCUGGUAGUCCACGCCGUAAACGAUGUCUACUAGCUGUUCGUGGUCUUGUACUGUGAGUAGCGCAGCUAACGCACUAAGUAGACCGCCUGGGGAGUACGGUCGCAAGAUUAAA